GUUUAAGUUCUCUGAUUGUUGCACGUGGUUUGGCAGAGCGGGCUGAUGCGAAGCGGUCUGGGAAGUGGUGGUUUCAGUUAGCAUCCGCUCCCCGUGUUCUCGGAAACAACAGUGAGGCGAGCCUUGGCAUGCUGGAUGCCCGAUGAAGCUGGGUUCAGGGACCCCACCUGCCUCUGACCUCACGUGUUCACGGGUGCAACAGCUGACAUCUUUGUUGCUGAGGAUGUGCACAGCGGUUUAGGUGUUGGGACCGAGGUUACACAGCAGCAGCUUCUCUGCAGGUAUGUGUGAGGAACCUUCGUGGAGCAGUGUGCCAGCGUGCAUGGGCUACUCGGGGCCCCUGGUGUGCCAAACAAUAGCACGUUUCUAGCUCUUUAUGGUGACUUUUGAGAUAGGGUCUCCCUGUGUAAUCCAUGCCAACUUGAACUGAUAGCAGUCCUCCUACCUCAGUCUCUCCUGAGUGCCAGAACUGUAGAUGAGUAACAUCAAGCCAAGUUGUUGUUUCUGCCUGGCAAAGAUGAUUUUCCUGUAGUUAAGUUUAAUUAUGUUGAUUAUCAAAAUGCAUACGUUUCCCAGAGGCAGGGACUUUAUUCAGUUGUCUCUGUUUCCGGGGCAACAUCUUCCAUGGCUCUCCCCUCAGUUUGGUGAGUUUGCAAA